UUGAACGCUGGCGGCAUGCCUUACACAUGCAAGUCGAACGGCAGCACGGAUGCUUGCACCUGGUGGCGAGUGGCGAACGGGUGAGUAAUACAUCGGAACAUGUCCUGUAGUGGGGGAUAGCCCGGCGAAAGCCGGAUUAAUACCGCAUACGAUCUACGGAUGAAAGCGGGGGACCUUCGGGCCUCGCGCUAUAGGGUUGGCCGAUGGCUGAUUAGCUAGUUGGUGGGGUAAAGGCCUACCAAGGCGACGAUCAGUAGCUGGUCUGAGAGGACGACCAGCCACACUGGGACUGAGACACGGCCCAGACUCCUACGGGAGGCAGCAGUGGGGAAUUUUGGACAAUGGGCGAAAGCCUGAUCCAGCAAUGCCGCGUGUGUGAAGAAGGCCUUCGGGUUGUAAAGCACUUUUGUCCGGAAAGAAAUCCUUGGCCCUAAUACGGUCGGGGGAUGACGGUACCGGAAGAAUAAGCACCGGCUAACUACGUG
rnacentral:rRNA from 1 species